AACGAACGCUGGCGGCGUGCCUAACACAUGCAAGUCGAACGAGAAAGGGGACUUCGGUCCCUGAGUACAGUGGCGCACGGGUGAGUAACACGUGGGUAAUCUACCCGGAGAUUCGGGACAACAUCUCGAAAGGGGUGCUAAUACCGGAUAAGCCUACGACGUCUUCGGACGAUGCAGGAAAAGGUGGGGAUUUUUCGGAACCUACCGUCCCGGAUGAGCCCGCGGCCCAUUAGCUAGUUGGCGGGGUAAUGGCCCACCAAGGCGACGAUGGGUAGCUGGUCUGAGAGGAUGAUCAGCCACACUGGAACUGAGACACGGUCCAG
rnacentral:rRNA from 1 species